rfam:Otolemur garnettii contig116194, whole genome shotgun sequence.
GCCAGGUGUUGUGGCGGGCACCUGUGGUCCCAGCUACUUGGGAGGCGGAGGCAGGAGACUCGCUUGAGCCCAGGAGUUGGAGGUUGCUGUGAGCUGUAAUGCCACGGCACUCUACCCAGGGGGACAGCUUGAGGCUCUGUCUCAAGGUUUUAUGACUCCCUUUGGGGUAAAGGGGGUUCUAGUUUCUAUGAGCCUCCUCAGGGGAAGAGGGAAUCUAGUUUCUUUCUUUCUUUUUUUUUUUUUUUUGAGACAGAGCCUCGAGCUAUCCCCCUGGGUGGAGUGCUGUGGCAUCACAGCUCACAGCAACCUCCAACUCCUGGGCUCAAUCGAGUCUCCUGCCUCAG